ACCGAACACCGGCGUGAAUUGCGCCAAGGAACUUGAAUGAAAGAGCGUUCCCCCGCCGUCCCGGAGACGGAGACCGCGCGGGUGGUUCGUCGUCUUCAGUAUGUCUAAACGACUCUCGGCAACGGAUAUCUCGGCUCUCGCAUCGAUGAAGAACGUAGCGAAAUGCGAUACUUGGUGUGAAUUGCAGAAUCCCGUGAACCAUCGAGUCUUUGAACGCAAGUUGCGCCCGAAGCCGUUAGGCCGAGGGCACGUCUGCCUGGGCGUCACACGUCGUUGCCCCCCCGACCCCUUCGGGGGCCGGACGGGACGGAUGA
rnacentral:rRNA from 1 species